UACGAAGGGGGCUAGCGUUGCUCGGAAUCAUUGGGCGUAAAGGGUGCGUAGGCGGCGGAGCAAGUCAGGUGUGAAAUCCCGGAGCUCAACUCCGGAACUGCAUUUGAUACUGCUUCGCUAGAGUACUGGAGAGGAGACUGGAAUUUACGGUGUAGCAGUGAAAUGCGUAGAUAUCGUAAGGAAGACCAGUGGCGAAGGCGAGUCUCUGGACAGUUACUGACGCUGAGGCACGAAGGCCAGGGGAGCAAACGGG
rnacentral:rRNA from 1 species